UGAACGCUGGCGGUAUGCUUAAUACAUGCAAGUCGUACGAGGGCUUUUAGCCUUAGUGGCGGACGGGUGAGUAACACGUGAGAAUCUGCCCUUAGGAGGAGGAUAACAGCUGGAAACGGUUGCUAAUACUCCAUAUGCCGAGAGGUGAAAGGAUUUAUCCACCUAAGGAGGAGCUCGCGUCUGAUUAGCUAGUUGGUAGGGUAAUGGCCUACCAAGGCGACGAUCAGUAGCUGGUUUGAGAGGAUGAUCAGCCACACUGGGACUGAGACACGGCCCAGACUCCUACGGGAGGCAGCAGUAGGGAAUUUUCCGCAAUGGGCGAAAGCCUGACGGAGCAAUACCGCGUGAGGGAUGACGGCCUGUGGGUUGUAAACCUCUUUUCUCAAGGAAGAAGUUCUGGCGGUACUUGAGGAAUAAGCAUCGGCUAACUCUGUGCCAGCAGCCGCGGUAAUCUGAUGGCGCGAGG
rnacentral:rRNA from 1 species